GUAUUUGUGCACAACAUUGUAUAGAAUUUCUCAUUGACAGUGGCUGCUUCUCUGCUUUUAUUUAAUAACUGAAUACUUGCCACAGGACCUCCCUUGUUUAGAAAACUGCCAUGUACUUACUAAGAUGCAUAUUUUUAAAACAAAAUUUUCAACCCUCAUUAAAGACAAUACAAAAUUCACCUAAUCAAAACCCAAUAUCAAGAACCAAGUGAAAUAAAUGCCUAUCCCAGACUAAUACUUAAGAGCAAACCAAUAUAAAACUAAACCAAAUUUAGUCCCUUUUAGACUUCCAAGGUAAAUAAUAAGGAGCAAUAACUUUAAAGUAAGAAAAAAGUCUCUAAGUCACAAAUCAAAGACAAAAGUUAAGAAUUAAAGUUUGAAUUAAAUAUUGAAGACUAAACACUCUGGCAAACUAAUCCAGACAUCAAAUGACUUUUGCUAAACAUAUUACAAAUAUUUUUUGCCAUGAGGAUAACGAUAAUACACCCCAGAUUCUUAUGUAGAUUAUUUCAAGUACACACAAUAAAAACCUCUCCUAAGAGAAUGCAUUUCCCAUUUUCCAGCAUUAUGAAAAGAGAACCACCUCAGUUUUCAGCCUGUUACUUGAGGGUACUUCUCAAAAAUAAAGGGAGCAUAAAAUAGACACACAAUAUCAGAAGAACAAUAAAUUAUUAAAACUUGAAGCACAUGUUUUGACAGUAUUUGAAAGAGAAUUUUAUAUUACUGUAACUAAUGUGCGGAAAGGUCUAAAGUAGAAACUACACAAUUUCAAUAAUGGAAAUAGAAGCUAUAAGAAAGAAUGAAAUGAAAAAGCAAAAUCUGAACAACAACUUCUCUAAAUUAAACUUCAUUGAGGAAAGAAUUGGGGGAUUCUAAAGCAUACAAACACAGAAACUUAGCAUAAACUUACAGUUUUAGAAUGAGUAAAAUGGUGUUCUUAAUUAAUUCAAUGACAUAUAACAUAAAAUCAAUAUGUAUAUAUUAAUUGUGAUACAAUUCUCUAGUAAUGACUAAUUGGGACUCUCUUUUAAUAAGCACAAAGGUAUAUAGGUGUACCUCAGUACAACAGCCUGCCUGUCAUGUACAAAGCUCUAGGUUCAGUUAUCUCUAGCAAUACAAAAAUAAAUAAAUAAAUAGAUAGAUAGGUAGGUAGAUAGAUAGAUAGACAGACAGACAGACGGACAAACAAACAAACAAACAAAUAAAUAAAUGUGUGUUUUAAAAAACUGGGAGCUGAAGAAAUAGCUCAGUGGUUAAAAGCCUGCGUUGCUCUUGGUGCGGGGGGGGGGGGGGCUGAAAUUCAGUUUCACAAACACAUUUUUUGCUCAAAAUUGCCUUACAACAUUUGCAUUAGGGAUUUUGAUACUUUCUUCCGGCCUCUGUAGACGAGCAAUAGCAAUCAUAUGUAUAUGGCUCUAUAUAGACAUGAAAGUAUACACACACUUCAAAAUAAAAAUUGAAAAUAUAAAAGAUGAAACUAUACAUAUAAAACAGCAAUGAUACCUGUCCAAAUCUGAUGUCCAUUUUUACAAAUAUUAACCGACUCUACAUGCUGAGAAAUUCUAAAUAAUAAAAACAGCCAACAAAUAUAAACCCUUUCUGAUUAGAGUAUUUCUUUACAUGAAAUUCUAAUAAAAUCUUAGCAGGCAUUUAAAAAUGAUUCUCAAUAGACUGACUGUAAAAGUUGUAUGAAAAUACAAAGGAGUAUUUAAACAGAAUUAUAGGCCUCAAAUUAUGUGGAAGUGGUGAACAUAGACUUUCAAAUCAAGAUGAUGAGAACUCAGAAACAGGGGCAUACAAACACAAUCAAAUUAAAAUCUUCUGUUGUGGAUGGGCCUGGUGCUGUUUGUUUAUUAAUGCUAAUUCCACUCUCCUGGUAGGAGUUGUGGACAAGGAGUGACUUCUUGUAAACCAAUCCCCUAAUAAAUAAGGAAACUAAUCACUGGGUGAGUAGGCAGGACUUCUAGGUUGGGCAGAGGAAGAGAGGGAGCAGGAGGGAGUUAGGUCUUUUUGGACUGGGACAGCAUGAGGACAAGAUGUAAUUAUGAGUGUCUCCCGGUUUCAAUGGUGGAUUCAUCAAGAUUCCCUCUGGAGGAUUUAUAUUU
rnacentral:lncRNA from 1 species